rnacentral:lncRNA from 10 species
CCGGGUCCCCUUCUCCUGGGAGCCUGGGCGUGGUCUCCCGUGUCCGGAGCUGCGUCCUUCCUUGCGCUCCACGAAGGUGCCUAAAGCGGCGCCGCGCGUUCAUGAAGAAGUUGCUGACGGUGUUGAGCUCCAAGCCGAGCUGCUGCGAGAUGGUGACCUGCAUCUCCUUGGACGGCCGCUUGUUCUCCUUGAAGAUGGCGAUCAGCGUGCGUCGCUGCAGGCUGAGACCACCCAGACUUGGCCUCCCUCGAGCACCCAGUGGACCCUCUGGAGCGCAGAACAUCUAAGAAAGAAGACUUUGGAGGAGGAGGGGAGAGUGCAGGGACCACCUCUUCCUCUCCCAGAUGAGCAGGUCACCCUUCCUCUUGGUCAGCCCGCACAGAUCACGGAGAGGGCUGAAGGAGGCUGCCCCAUGGCCUGCAGACCAGACACUUGCAAAGGGGAGAAAAGCAAAGGCUCGGGGUGAUGGGGCAGGGCUGAAGCCGAGUCCUGCUCUUCCUGCUCCAGCAGCGAAGUGAACCCCUCCCCUCAAUGCAGUGGGUGUCAGUGGGUACAAAACACAGGCUUCCCCCACUAGGAGCUGGGCCACAAGUCAGAUGGGCUCAUUUGUGGCAUCAGCUUGAAACUCCAUCAGAAUCUCAAUUUCUCUCCUGCAUCCAGACUGGGACUGUGGUGCUGAAGAGGCUGUCCUGCCCUUGUCUCCAUCCCGGAGUUCCAGCUACUCUGUGACCCCCAGAAGUGGCCGGUGGUGCAGAACAGCCUGGAACAUGACAUGCUAGAUCAAUGUCCAUACACGUCCACAGAAAUAAAUGAAUGUUCCUUCUGCCAUGACUCAUGUCUCGGGGACAACAGAGCACCAAGAAUAAAGAGAAAAUCCUAAAAAGCGCCUAGAGGAAAGCCAGAUGUCAUGCAAAGGAUCAAGAAUCCAAGCAGCUUUGGGUGUGCAAAAACUAGCAGACAACAGAGCAAGGCUUUCAAAGUUCCAAGGAAAAGUUAUUUUCAGCUAGAAUUGCUAAAUAACAAAAGACCAAACAUGAAGGUGCAAUAAAGAUAUAAUCGGAUGUUCAAGGACUCCAAAACUUAACUUCCCAC